UACAGAGGUCUCAAGCGUUGUUCGGAUUCAUUGGGCGUAAAGGGUGCGUAGGCGGCGCGGUAAGUCGGGUGUGAAAUCUCGGGAGCUUAACUCCGAAACUGCAUUCGAUACUGCCGUGCUUGAGGACUGGAGAGGAGACUGGAAUUUACGGUGUAGCGGUGAAAUGCGUAGAUAUCGAGAGAAGAGCCUGCGGCGAAGGCGGGUUGCUGGGCGAGCAUCCUGA
rnacentral:rRNA from 1 species